rnacentral:sRNA from 1 species
UCGACAUUUAUCGAGUUAGCGCACGGCUCAAUCCCUUGAGCCAUUCCCCUGAGCUCGGGACAACUUGGAUUGGUCCCGAGCCUUUUUUU